ACACUGCCCCUCCUCACUGCCAGCGUCUCCCACCCCCACGAGCUGGCGCCCAGUUCUCCAGGUGGUCCUCUUUCCUCUGUCCUCUGCCCAUCCCUAGGGGAAAGAAGAGUCCCUAUCAGAUGCCUCCAUCUGACCCCAAUCCCCUGAGCAUGAAGGACCCCUGCAGACCAUGGUCGGUGAGCUGCCAGCACGGCCAGGCAAGGUGGACAACUGUGUCAAGCCCCUUCCAACUCAUGGAUGCAGCGAUUCCCCAGGAAGUGGGUUAGCAGAAGUCAGCAAGGGCAGGGGGGCUUACCCCGGCCUCCAGGUCGAAAGGGCGCCUCCGGGAAUGCAGCUGGGGAGAAAGUCUUCUUCCAACCACACCGAAGUGACACCAGCUACCUGAAACUCAAAGCGAAAGUGGACCAGGGAGCAUUCCUGACCUCGAUGCACCUCAUAGAGUCUGAAUUAAAACACCAAGAUCGCCACAUUA